rnacentral:rRNA from 1 species
GACGAACGCUGGCGGCGUGCCUAAUACAUGCAAGUAGAACGCUGAAGGAGGAGCUUGCUUCUCUGGAUGAGUUGCGAACGGGUGAGUAACGCGUAGGUAACCUGCCUGGUAGCGGGGGAUAACUAUUGGAAACGAUAGCUAAUACCGCAUAAGAGUAGAUGUUGCAUGACAUUUGCUUAAAAGGUGCAAUUGCAUCACUACCAGAUGGACCUGCGUUGUAUUAGCUAGUUGGUGGGGUAACGGCUCACCAAGGCGACGAUACAUAGCCGACCUGAGAGGGUGAUCGGCCACCCUGGGACUGGGACACGGCCCAGAAUCCUUCGGGAGGGAGCAGUAGGGAAUCUUCGGCAAUGGACGGAAGUCUUACCGAGCAACGCCGAGUGAGUGAAGAAGGUUUUCGGGUCGUAAAGCUCUGUUGUAAGAGAAGAACGAGUGUGAGAGUGGAAAGUUCACACUGUGACGGUAUCUUACCAGAAAGGGACGGCUAACUACGUG